UUAUGGUAAUAAAACAUUCUCAUCAAAUGGAUUACUCAAAGUGAAGUGCUUGAAACAGCGCCUUUGCUCUCAUUCAGCGGGUAGAAGAAAAUAGGACCUAACAGAAAUAAACCUGUUGCUUAAAUUCAAAAGCUUGGCAUGUCCAACCGGUUCACAAAAGGAAUACUACUCGGGUUGCCAUGCCUCACCAUUUUUUUUUUUUUCCAAACCAAAAAUGAUACCAUUUUAAUUGACGGAAAGUCACUGCUUACAUUUUGAUGACAUUUAUACAAAAAGCCUCAUCCCUAGAAAUCACUUAUUACGUAUCAUCGCCGAAAAAAAAAUGAGAGAGAAAAACAUCUAAUUCAAAUGCACGGCGUAAAACAAAGGAAAAGCUGGUGUGAUGCGACGUACUUCACUGCCCGGACCUGAACUAGACGCCGGAGCUCUGCUCGCAGCAACAGCGGGGUCUAUGAUUCUGCCAACCAACCUCCCAGAUCUGCGGCCCUGUCCGCUAGGUGUGACUCAGAGACUGAAUAAUGGUGGCCUGGCACCUGCGAGCCAUAGCAACAGGCAGCCAUGACAACAGCCGGGGGCGAUGCCAAGAGACAGCCAACACAACGAAGAGGCGCGGGUGGGUGUCGCGAGCGCCGAGCUAGCCCGAGAAGGUGGACAGAGUAGCGAAUAAGCGCCGUAGCCCGAGGUGGACACCACCUGAGAGUCCAGGGGAGGAAGAAAGGAAACGCGAGAACAGUGGUCUCCCGCCGUCCCACUGGGAAGCGCAAAGAAAAUGAUCUUCAAACUUCAUUUUGCAUAGCAGUUGUUUGAGGUGCAUGUGGUUCUGCUCACAAAAGUUCUAAUUCAGAAGACCUGCAAUGGAAUCCAGUAACUUGAGAAGCAACGUAACAAAUUCUGUUGUAAGUGAUCUUUGAAAUACAACAUUGGGAGACAUUG